rnacentral:misc_RNA from 1 species
AAGUCGUAACAAGGUUUCCGUAGGUGAACCUGCGGAAGGAUCAUUACAGAAUUUAAACUUGGUGGGUUGUCGCUGGCCUCGAGCAUGUGCACGCCUGUCAUUUUUGUUCUCUUUCCACCUGUGCACCCUAUAUGUAGGACCGCUCUUCUGGGGGGCGCCCUUUUGGGCGAGGGUUUGCCGCCAUGGCUUUCCUGUCUCCUCCAGCUCGACGGCUCUAUGUAUUCUUUAUCUUACCACAAUGUAUGUCGUCGAACGUAUGUGUAGCCACAUGGGCGCGAGCCCUGUGAUAACAAUCUAUACAACUUUCAGCAACGGAUCUCUUGGCUCUC